UGUGCAGUUGGACUCCAGCCAAUGGGAAGGACACAGUCACUAUCUGUCCUCUGCAGUCAAGCUGUCUGCGGCAGUCAAAGCAGCCCCCCGCCAGCUGGCGUGCGACCGAGGCUGUUGGCAAAUGCAUUUUCUACUGGCUGUUCAAACUGGAAUGAAAGCUUCCAUUUCCAUUGGAGGAGAAGUUAGGCUUUGCUUUCUCCACACACUAAAUUGGGCUGGAGGAAGCAGAAACCUGCACAUGGACUAUUGCAAGCCUGCCCUGAACAGAAUGCAGGGCUCUGUAAGAAUGCAGACAGGAGAGUUGAGAAAGACUUUUGGAUUAGAAUAAAUCAUCAGAAGCCACCAAAAGGCAUUUUGAUAGUGCUGG